GAUGAACGCUGACAGAAUGCUUAACACAUGCAAGUCAACUUGAAUUUGGGUUUUUAACUUAGAUUUGGGUGGCGGACGGGUGAGUAACGCGUAAAGAACUUGCCUCACAGCUAGGGACAACAUUUAGAAAUGAAUGCUAAUACCUGAUAUUAUGAUUUUAAGGCAUCUUAGAAUUAUGAAAGCUAUAAGCACUGUGAGAGAGCUUUGCGUCCCAUUAGCUAGUUGGAGAGGUAACAGCUCACCAAGGCGAUGAUGGGUAGCCGGCCUGAGAGGGUGAACGGCCACAAGGGGACUGAGACACGGCCCUUACUCCUACGGGAGGCAGCAGUGGGGAAUAUUGGACAAUGGACCGAAAGUCUGAUCCAGCAAUUCUGUGUGCACGAUGAAGUUUUUCGGAAUGUAAAGUGCUUUCAGUUGGGAAGAAAGAAAUGACGGUACCAACAGAAGAAGUGACGGCUAAAUACGUGCCAGCAGCCGCGGUAAUACGUAUGUCACGAGCGUUAUCCGGAUUUAUUGGGCGUAAAGCGCGUCUAGGUGGUUAUGUAAGUCUGAUGUGAAAAUGCAGGGCUCAACUCUGUAUUGCGUUGGAAACUGUAUAACUAGAGUACUGGAGAGGUAAGCGGAACUACAAGUGUAGAGGUGAAAUUCGUAGAUAUUUGUAGGAAUGCCGAUGGGGAAGCCAGCUUACUGGACAGAUACUGACGCUAAAGCGCGAAAGCGUGGGUAGCAAACAGG
rnacentral:rRNA from 1 species